UCCCUGGUGGUCCAAUGGCUAAGACUCCAGGCUCCCAAUCCAGGGGGACUAGGUUUGAUUCCUGGUCAGGGAA
rnacentral:tRNA from 1 species